CUGCGAGUGAAGAGGGAAGAGCUCAAAUUUAAAAUCUGGCAGUCGUUGGCUGUCCGAGUUGUAAAUUAGAGAAGCGUUAUCCGCGUCAGCCUGUGCAAAAGUCCCUUGGAAAAGGGCAUCAUAGAGGGUGACAAUCCCGUCUUUGGCACAGAUCACUGUUGCUUUUGUGAUGCGCUCUCGAUGAGUCGAGUUGUUUGGGAAUGCAGCUCUAAAUGGGUGGUAAAUUCCAUCUAAAGCUAAAUAUUGGCGAGAGACCGAUAGCGCACAAGUACCGUGAGGGAAAGAUGAAAAGAACUUUGAAAAGAGAGUUAAACAGUACGUGAAAUUGUUGAAAGGGAAACGCUUGAAGUCAGUCGUGUCCUUCAGAAAUCAACCUGACCUUGGUCUGGUGCACUUUCUGUUGGAUGGGCCAGCAUCAAUUUUGACCGUUGGACAAAGGUGUUGGGAAUGUGGCAUCCCCGGAUGUGUUAUGCCCUUCUCCUGAUACAACGGUUGGGAUUGAGGAUCUCAGGAUGCUGGCAUAAUGGCUUUAAUCGACCCGCUGANCCCCGCCCCCCCCNANANGGGACCCNUCUUUAUUCCAGACCACCUUUUGUUUUUUUGUGCGGUCCCAUUUCUAAAAAAAAAAACACAAGGGGAAUCUCAUCCCACAGUUUUUUUAUGACUUUGCCCAUUAAAAUUUGGGAUGCACGUCCACCCCUUUGUCAACGUAAAAUGAUACUGGCCAUCAUAUAAAGUGCACAUACAAAGCCUGCUGUAUNUCUGAGGGAACAACGGAAGUCAGCACUUCUAUCACGCUUCAAACGAUUGUACUCCUCUGUAAAGGCUNUUUACUAUCNACUGGACGUAGGGCCUAUCGUUAUUACCAAUAUUAACUUUNNAUGGGAAUUACCAGUU
rnacentral:rRNA from 1 species